GUGGGGAAUCUUAGACAAUGGGCGCAAGCCUGAUCUAGCCAUGCCGCGUGAGUGAUGAAGGCCCUAGGGUUGUAAAGCUCUUUCAGCUGGGAAGAUAAUGACGGUACCAGCAGAAGAAGCCCCGGCUAACUCCGUGCCAGCAGCCGCGGUAAUACGGAGGGGGCUAGCGUUGUUCGGAAUUACUGGGCGUAAAGCGCGCGUAGGCGGACUGAAAAGUUGGGGGUGAAAUCCCGGGGCUCAACCUCGGAACUGCCUUCAAAACUAUCAGUCUGGAGUUCGAGAGAGGUGAGUGGAAUUCCGAGUGUAGAGGUGAAAUUCGUAGAUAUUCGGAAGAACACCAGUGGCGAAGGCGACUCACUGGCCCGUUACUGACGCUGAGGCGCGAAAGCGUGGGGAGCAAACAGGAUUAGAAACCCGUGUAGUCC
rnacentral:rRNA from 1 species